GCUCAGAACGAACGCUGGCGGCGUGCCUAACACAUGCAAGUCGAGCGCGAAAGCUCCUUCGGGAGCCUUAAAGCGGCAGACGGGUGAGUAACACGUGGGCAACCUGUCCCUGAGUGGGGGAUAACUACUCGAAAGGGUGGCUAAUACCGCAUAAGACCACGGCCUUGCGGGGCUGAGGUCAAAGGCGCAAGCCGCUUGGGGAGGGGCCCGCGGCCGAUUAGCUAGUUGGUAGGGUAACGGCCUACCAAGGCGAUGAUCGGUAGCUGGUCUGAGAGGAUGAUCAGCCACACUGGUACUGAGACACGGACCAGACUCCUACGGGAGGCAGCAGUGGGGAAUAUUGCGCAAUGGGCGAAAGCCUGACGCAGCAACGCCGCGUGGGUGAUGAAGGCCUUCGGGUCGUAAAGCCCUGUCAGAUGGGACGAAGCAAGUGACGGUACCAUCGAAGGAAGCACCGGCUAACUCCGUGCCAGCAGCCGCGGUAAUACGGAGGGUGCAAGCGUUGUUCGGAAUCACUGGGCGUAAAGGGCGCGUAGGCGGUCCCACAAGUCCGAUGUGAAAGCCCGGGGCUCAACUCCGGAAGUGCAUUGGAAACUGUGGGACUUGAGUUCGGGAGAGGAAGGCAGAAUUCCCGGUGUAGGGUUGAAAUCCGUAGAUAUCGGGAGGAAAACCGGUGGCGAAGGCGGCCUUCUGGAACGAAACUGACGCUGAGGCGCGAAAGCGUGGGGAGCAAACAGGAUUAGAGACCCUGGUAGUCCACGCUGUAAACGAUGGAUGCUGGGUGUGGGAUUCAAUACGGAAUUCCGUGCCGAAGCUAACGCAUUAAGCAUCCCGCCUGGGGAGUACGGUCGCAAGACUAAAACUCAAAU
rnacentral:rRNA from 1 species